rnacentral:rRNA from 1 species
UACGGGGGGAGCAAGCGUUGUUCGGAUUUACUGGGCGUAAAGGGCGCGUAGGCGGCCACCGCAAGUCGACUGUGAAAUCUCCGGGCUUAACCCGGAAAGGUCAGCCGAUACUGCGGGGCUAGAGUGCAGAAGGGGCAACUGGAAUUCUCGGUGUAGCGGUGAAAUGCGUAGAUAUCGAGAGGAACACCUGCGGCGAAGGCGGGUUGCUGGGCUGACACUGACGCUGAGGCGCAGAAAGCGUAGGGGAGCGAACGGG